AUUGAACGCUGGCGGCAUGCCUUACACAUGCAAGUCGAACGGCAGCACGGGGGCAACCCUGGUGGCGAGUGGCGAACGGGUGAGUAACGCAUCGGAACGUACCCAGUAGUGGGGGAUAACUAGUCGAAAGACUGGCUAAUACCGCAUACGCACUACGGUGGAAAGCGGGGGACCGCAAGGCCUCGCGCUAUUGGAGCGGCCGAUGUCCGAUUAGGUAGUUGGUGGGGUAAAAGCCUACCAAGCCUGCGAUCGGUAGCUGGUCUGAGAGGACGACCAGCCACACUGGGACUGAGACACGGCCCAGACUCCUACGGGAGGCAGCAGUGGGGAAUAUUGGACAAUGGGCGCAAGCCUGAUCCAGCAAUACCGCGUGUGUGAAGAAGGCCCUAGGGUUGUAAAGCACUUUCAAUUGGGAGGAAAACCUGUCGGUCAAUACCCGGCAGCUUGACAUUACCUUUAGAAGAAGCACCGGCUAACUACGUGCCAGCAGCCGCGGUAAUAC
rnacentral:rRNA from 1 species